rnacentral:rRNA from 1 species
UGCGUAGGCGGUGCGGUAAGUCUUCUGUGAAAUCUCCGGGCUCAACUCGGAGUCUGCAGGAGAAACUGCCGUGCUUGAGUAUGGGAGAGGUGAGUGGAAUUCCUGGUGUAGCGGUGAAAUGCGUAGAUAUCAGGAGGAACACCUGUGGCGAAAGCGGCUCACUGGACCAUAACUGACGCUGAGGCACGAAAGCUAGGGGAGCAAACAGGAUUAGAUACCCUGGUAGUCCUAGCCCUAAACGAUGAUUGCUUGGUGUAGCAGGUACCCAAUCCUGCUGUGCCGCAGCUAACGCGUUAAGCAAUCCGCCUGGGGAGUACGGUCGCAAGGCUGAA